rnacentral:rRNA from 1 species
CGCGUAGGCGGCUAGGCAAGUCUUGGGUGAAAUCCCUCGGCUCAACCGAGGAACUGCCUUGGAAACUGCCUGGCUCGAGGCCGGGAGAGGGUAGCGGAAUUCCCAGUGUAGCGGUGAAAUGCGUAGAUACUGGGAGGAACACCAGUGGCGAAGGCGGCUACCUGGACCGGUUCUGACGCUGAGGCGCGAAAGCGUGGGAAGCAAACA